rnacentral:tRNA from 1 species
GCCUGUUUGGCUCAGUGGAUAGAGCGUCAGCCUGUGGACUGAAGGGUCCCGGGUUCAAUUCCCAGUCAGGGCA